GACAAGGACAUUCUAGAAAUCCUGUUACCUUGUUUCUUGCUAUGCUUACUAUUUUGGCUUGUGAACAAGCUACUCCCUUUCCUGUGCCUCAUUCUCCCCCCUCUACCCAUCAAACUCUGUGGGCUUAUGUUCCUGAUCCACCUGUCUUAAGACCUGUUACUUGGGAUGAUCCUGCUUUUUCUGUUUACAUUAAUGAUACCUCUAUGCUUGGUUUUCCUUCUUCCUCUCAUAUUACUCCUCAAAUUGCCAAUUAUACAUAUACAGCUCAGGCCAUUGCUCCUCCUAUGUGUUUUUAUGCUUCUUUCAUAUAUGAUAAAUAUUCUUACAGUGAUUAUGUCUCUUUACAACCUUCCCCUCCUCCACCUAUUCCUGGAGACUUUUGUUUUCCUCUAGGAGUUAAGCAAUUAAAAACAUACAAUGACCCUUCCACUCUCUUCCCUACUGAGUCUAUUGCUCAAAGAGAUUGGAUAUUACUUUAUCCUAGUAUUCAGGAAUCUUCUAACAUUUUUUCUCCUAAUUUUCCUUCCAUGGAACUACAACCUUGUCACUCUAGCAACAUUCCCUUUAAUCCUCCUCCCCCAUGGCAAUUUUGCUACCCUAAUCAAAAUCAAGCUCUGAAUUAUACUCUGCCUUCUGGUUUUACUUUGUAUGACUGGUCCGUCCCAAACCUUUUAAGUGAAAAUCUAAGUCGUUAUAAAAUAUCCGGUGGGUGGAGCACUCCUAUUUUUACCACUAAUAAGGGCACACUUUACACCUCUCUUUGGAAAUUGUUUUUAUCUGUAUACCCCAGUUAUUAUUUUGCUGGCUCUCGUAGCCGUGCCUAUCCAGCUAAAGGUCAUGUAUACGUUCAAUCUUGUGUUGCAUCCCCCUACGCUAUUUUACUUGGUAAUGUUUCUUUUUCUGAAAACAAUGGACCUUAUUCAAUUUCUUGCAUUAAUUGUACUCUUACCAAUUGUAUGGACUCCUCUAUGUUUCCUACUUCUACAAUAUUGAUUGUCCAUCAACCUCCUUAUGUUUUGCUUCCUGUUAACAUUUCUGGUGAUUGGUAUGAUGAAAAAGCCUUACAAAUUUUUCAUGAAGUUCAUGAACUUCUGU
rnacentral:lncRNA from 13 species